rnacentral:misc_RNA from 1 species
ACAGGUUUAAAUAAAAUUAUAUUAAAAAUGAUACUUAUUAUGAACUAAAAAAUAAAUCCUUAAGUUAUUUCCAACAAAAUUAAAAUUUUUUUUUUUGUUAAUGUGCUGUUUGUUUAAAUUUCUAAAUGAAGAGAAAAAGUUGCAACAAUGUAUGGGAAGAAAAGGGUGGGUAUAUACAAAUGAAAGCAGACAAGUUGCAAAAUCAGUUUCAAGAUGAAUCAAUUAUCCACAGAAAAUCAAAUAUUUUUAAGAAUGUUUCUAUCUGGGUCAACGGAUACACUUAUCCAUCAUCUGAUGAGUUAAAGAGAUUAGUUGGAGAAAAUGGUGGCCGCUAUCAACAUUAUUUUUCAAAAACUCACGUUACCCAUGUUAUAGCUACAAAUUUAACGAGCAGCAAAAUCAAAGAUUUAAAGAAAAAUGAUCAAGUUGUACAUCCUGAUUGGAUUGUAGAUUGUGUUAGUGCCGGAAAAUUACUACCAGUUGACAAAUACUUGCUUUACUCAACAAAUAAACGCGAUGGAACUGAACUAAAGUUUAAUUUUGAUGCAAAGAAAACCCCAGAAAGUUUACAAAGUCAUAUCAUAGUUCCCAAAACUGGAAAAUGUUUGAGUGAGAAUGAAUGCAUUCCACAUUUGAAGAAUGAGAAUGGAUGUAUUCCACAUUUGAAGAAUGAGAAUGGAUGCAUUCCACAUUUGUCUAAGCAUGAUUAUAGUGUAAAUGAAACAAAGAAAUUACCUUGUAAAGCAGGUGAUCCAAAUUUUAUAUCAGAAUAUUAUUCUCAUUCUCGUUUACAUCAUCUAUCAAUGUGGAAAGCAGAGUUAAAGAAAUUUACUAUAGACAUCCAAAAGAAAAGGAAACAGUUUAAUAAUGAAAUUGUUGGAAAAAAAUUCAAUCGAUUAAUUAUGCAUGUUGACAUGGAUUCGUUCUUUGUUUCUGUUGCUCAAACAAUUGAUCAAAGUCUUAAAGGAAAAGCAAUUGCUGUGUGUCAUGCUAAUAAGUCUAAUGGAUCCUCAGAUUCUUAUUCAAGUAUAGCAUCUUGCAGUUAUGAAGCUCGUUGUUUCGGUUUGAAAAAUGGCAUGAUGUUAAAUAAAGCCAAAUCAUUAUGUCCAAAUCUUAUAUGCGUACCCUAUCAUUUUGACCAAUACCGAAAAGUAUCACAAAAAGUUUAUAAAAUCCUUUCAAGUUAUACUUGUGAGAUAGAAGCUGUUAGCUGUGAUGAAGCAUUAUUAGAUAUUACACAUAUUGCAGGAGAUGUUUAUGAUCUUGCUGAAAAAAUUAGAAAAGAUAUAUUUGAAGAAACUAAGUGCACUGCUUCAUGUGGAAUUGGUGAGAAUAUUUUGUUAGCAAAGCUUGCUACUAAACAAGCCAAACCAAAUGGUGUUUGCUACAUCCAAAAAUGUGAUGUUCCUGAAUUUAUUGCAAGUCAAAAGGUUUGUAACCUUCCUGGCAUUGGUGCUAUCUAUAGUGAAAAACUGUCUUCUUUAUCAAUCUUAACAUGUGCAGACCUUCAAAAAUUUUCAUUAUUUUUUUUAAAAAAAGAAUUUGGUCAAAAGCUUGGUGAAAUGUUGUACAAUUUUUGUCGUGGAGAAGACAGUCGCACAUUAAAACUUUAUGAAGAACGAAAAAGUGUCUCUGCAGAAAUAAAUUAUGGAAUGAGGUUUAGUUCUAUGAAAGAAGUUGAAGAGUUUAUUGACCAACUUUCAAAGCAAGUUGAAGUUCGAUUAACAGAGGCUGAAAAGAAAGGAAAACUUAUCACUUUAAAGAUGAUGAUUCGUCAAAAAGGGGAAGGAAAUCCUUUGAAAUACAUGGGCCAUGGUUUAUGUGAUAAUGUUAGCAAAUCAAUCAUGAUUUCGAGCCCAACUAAUAGUUCUGAAUUGAUAUCUCGUUACUGUCUCCAACUCUUGCAUUUAUUCACUGUUAUUGCACAAGAUAUCAGAGGAAUAGGAAUACAGGUAACAAAGUUAUCAGACAACAUAAUUCAAAACAAAGCAGUUGAUUUGUUUAAAUUCAUGAAUCACGCUAAAGUUCUUAACAAUGGUAAUGGUCAGUUUAUUCAAGAUAAUGUUCUUAACAAUUCUAUUGGUCAGGUUGUUCCAGAUGUCCUUAACAAUUCUAUUGGUCAGGUUGUUCGAGAUGUUCUUAACAAUUCUAGUUGUCAGGUUGUUCAAGAUGUUCUUAACAAUUCUAGUGGUCAGGUUGUUCAUGAUGCUAACAUUCCUAAAACAAGUAGCAAGGUUGUUCAAGAUAGUGAACAGAAUGCAUCAAAUAUUUUAUCAAGUCCAGAUUUAUUUGAACCAACAUCUUUUAUUUUGGAAUCACCAAAUAUUAAAAAUCAGAGCGAAUGUGACUCUUGGAAUCUCUCAGUAUUGAAUCAGUUGCCAAUUGAUAUACAAGAAGAGCUUCAACUUCAAUGUAGAACAAAAAACUCUUCAAAAAUCUAUCAUCAUGGAGAAUUUCAUGAAAAAAUAUUAGAUCAAAAAUUAUCAUCUAAAAUAAUUACAAGUCCCUCAAAAAAAGCUCAAACAAAAAAAUAUAACCAAAUGAGUCCAGAUAAAAAGCGUAGAAGAGGACGACCAAAAACGGUUAUUUCACUUUUAGACUCAAGUAAAUUUAGAGAUAUCAAGACUUCUUUAAAAAUUAAUAAAAGUAGUUUUUUAACCCCUGCCAAUGUUGACAUUAAUAUAUUAAAUGAACUACCUGAAGAAAUUAGAAAUGAAAUACUUGCUGAGUUAAAAAAUACUAAAUUUAUUUCCAAAGAGAAAAAAGUAGUACAAAGUGAAAUUCAGAAUAAUAAAAUUUCUCAUGGAAAAAAACAGUUUUUAAACCAAAUAUCAUUUUUACCAUUACAGAAACCAUCUGUAACAACACCUAUAUCAGCUGCACCUUUAAAUAUUGCAACUUCAUCUGCAACUCUAGUAAAGUUGACUGCACCUCCAAAAAUUGUAAACUCAUCUGUACCUCUUCAAACGUCACUAGUAUAUGAACAGUUGCCACAAGUUUCUUUUACAUUCCAAACACCACUAGUUGCUCUUCCAUCACAAAAAAAUUUUAAUGAUGUUUUAUUAUCACCGUCACAAAUUAAUAAAUCUUUUAUGGAAGCACUUCCUGAAGACAUUCAAAGUGAACUUUUGCUAGAAAUUAAAAAUGCAAAAAAAAAAAAUCUUAUGGAUGUGAAGCCAAAAGAAAAUGAGACAAUUUUAGGUUUUAAAGAAACUCGUGUUAAUUUCAAUAAUGUCAAUCUUGAUUGCAAUAAUGCCAAUGUUGAUUGCAAUACACCUUUGAUUUCUAAUAAAAAGUUAUUAAAUCAUAAAGAAAAAAAUUUUGAUGUAUUAUCACCUUCUCAGUUGGAUAUUUCAGUUUUUAAUGAAUUGCCUGUUGAGUUGCAAAGAGAAGUAAUGAUGGUUGCACGUUCUAACAAAAAUAGAACCAUUCGUCAUAGUGAAAGGCAAAAAUUACUGAAUAAUGAUCAAGCCAUAAUUAAAAAAGAUCAAAACACAAUCGAAAAAGAUUUUAAACUUACUCAGGUUAUUCCAGUUUUUAAUGGAUUAUCAACAUCAUCAUUUUCAACAUCAUCUGAAAUCACAAAAUCUAUCAGUGAAAUAAAAGCUUAUUUACAAAAUUGGAUUUUAUCAGGAGUUGGUUGGUUUCUAAAACAACAACACUUAGUUACUGGAAAUCUAUUUUUAAUGAAGUCCUCUCAGAUACUCAAAAAUUUAUGAAGCUGAAAUAUAAUGGAAGAUUAAAUAUUCUCCGGUUAAGUUGUGAUGACUAUGCGCUUGACAUGCAUCAAGUCAAAUAAAAAUUUUCUAACAAAUUAUAGAUUGCAAUGAUUGUGUAACCAUUACAAUGAGUGUGGUAAAAAAUGUUUAUCAGUUAAUGUUCAAUUAAAAGAUAAAC